CCUACGGGAGGCAGCAGUGGGGAAUUUUGGACAAUGGGCGCAAGCCUGAUCCAGCAAUGCCGCGUGAGUGAAGAAGGCCUUCGGGUUGUAAAGCUCUUUUGUCAGGGAAGAAACGGUGGGAGCUAAUAUCUCCCGCUAAUGACGGUACCUGAAGAAUAAGCACCGGCUAACUACGUGCCAGCAGCCGCGGUAAUACGUAGGGUGCAAGCGUUAAUCGGAAUUACUGGGCGUAAAGCGUGCGCAGGCGGUUUUGUAAGUCUGUCGUGAAAGCCCCGGGCUCAACCUGGGAAUUGCGAUGGAGACUGCAAGGCUUGAAUCUGGCAGAGGGGGGUAGAAUUCCACGUGUAGCAGUGAAAUGCGUAGAGAUGUGGAGGAACACCGAUGGCGAAGGCAGCCCCCUGGGUCAAGAUUGACGCUCAUGCACGAAAGCGUGGGGAGCAAACAGGAUUAGAUACCCUGGUAGUCCACGCCCUAAACGAUGUCUACUAGUUGUCGGGUUUUAAUAACUUGGUAACGCAGCUAACGCGUGAAGUAGACCGCCUGGGGAGUACGGUCGCAAGNUUAAAACUCAAAGGAAUUGACGG
rnacentral:rRNA from 1 species